CCUCCAUCCGAUCUUUAUGUAACUAGGCCUUCGAUUUUACUCAUGUUAGGACGAGGUUCUCCUCUUAUUCCUAACAAGGCUGUGGGAGCACAUAAGGACCGUUGCGCGGGCCUCUCCUCCCAUCCGGUCUUUAAAUAAUCGAACCUUCGACUUUGCUCAUGUUAGGACGAGAUUCUCCUCCUAUUCCUAACAAGGCUGUGGAGGCACAUAAAGGCCGUUGCGAGGGCCUCUCCCCCC
rnacentral:lncRNA from 1 species